CCAGACUCCUACGGGAGGCAGCAGUGGGGAAUAUUGCACAAUGGGGGAAACCCUGAUGCAGCAACGCCGCGUGAGUGAGGAAGUAUUUCGGUAUGUAAAGCUCUAUCAGCAGGGAAUAGAAAAGAAGGUACCUGAAAAAGAAGCCCCGGCUAACUACGUGCCAGCAGCCGCGGUAAUACGUAGGGGGCAAGCGUUAUCCGGAUUUACUGGGUGUAAAGGGAGCGUAGACGGAAAGGCAAGUCAGAAGUGAAAGCCCAAGGCUCAACCAUGGGACUGCUUUUGAAACUGUUGAACUAGAUUGCAGGAGAGGUAAGUGGAAUUCCUAGUGUAGCGGUGAAAUGCGUAGAUAUUAGGAGGAACACCAGUGGCGAAGGCGGCUUACUGGACUGUAAAUGACGCUGAGGCUCGAAAGCGUGGGGAGCAAACAGGAUUAGAUACCCGCGUAC
rnacentral:rRNA from 1 species